rnacentral:rRNA from 1 species
CGCUGGCGGCGUGCUUAACACAUGCAAGUCGAACGGGAUCCCGGGGGUUCGCCUCCGGGUGAGAGUGGCGAACGGGUGAGUAAUGCGUGACCGACCUGCCCCAUACACCGGAAUAGCUCCUGGAAACGGGUGGUAAUGCCGGAUGCUCCGGUUGGAUGCAUGUCCUUCCGGGAAAGGUUCCAUCGGUAUGGGAUGGGGUCGCGUCCUAUCAGCUUGAUGGCGGGGUAACGGCCCACCAUGGCUUCGACGGGUAGCCGGCCUGAGAGGGCGACCGGCCACAUUGGGACUGAGAUACGGCCCAGACUCCUACGGGAGGCAGCAGUGGGGAAUAUUGCACAAUGGGCGCAAGCCUGAUGCAGCGACGCCGCGUGCGGGAUGGAGGCCUUCGGGUUGUAAACCGCUUUUGAUCGGGAGCAAGCCCUUCGGGGUGAGUGUACCCUUCGAAUAAGCACCGGCUAACUACGUGCCAGCAGCCGCGG